rnacentral:misc_RNA from 1 species
UCAAACUUGGUCAUUUAGAGGAAGUAAAAGUCGUAACAAGGUCUCCGUUGGUGAACCAGCGGAGGGAUCAUUACCGAGUUCUUUGACUCACAACCCUUUGCGAACGCUACCUGCCGUUGCCUCGGCGGUGCGGCCCCGGGCCCCCUGCUCGCUGGGGGGGCGCACGGAACCAAGGCCCCCGCCGGAGGACCCCAAGACGCAGCUUCUUGCCGAGUCUCUCUCUGAGGUGGCCCUCGCGGGCCUGGAAAACAAGAAAAUGAAUCAAAACUUUCAACAACGGAUCUCUUGGUUCUGGCAUCGAUGAAGAACGCAGC